rnacentral:rRNA from 1 species
CCUACGGGUGGCAGCAGUGAGGAAUAUUGGUCAAUGGACGCAAGACUGAACCAGCCAAGCCGCGUGCGGGAAGAAGGCUCUGUGUAUCGUAAACUUCUUUUGUCAGGGGACAAAGGCGGAGACGCGUCUCUGGAUGAGCGUACCUGACGAAAAAGCAUCGGCUAACUCCGUGCCAGCAGCCGCGGUAAUACGGAGGAUGCGAGCGUUAUCCGGAUUUAUUGGGUUUAAAGGGUGCGCAGGCGGUCUGAUAAGUUAGCGGUGAAAGCCCGGGGCUCAACCCCGGCCUUGCCGUUGAAACUGGCAGGCUCGAGUUGGGGAGAGGUAUGCGGAAUGCGCGGUGUAGCGGUGAAAUGCUUAGAUAUCGCACAGAACACCGAUUGCGAAGGCAGCAUGCC